CCUACGGGAGGCAGCAGUGAGGAAUAUUGGUCAAUGGGCGCGAGCCUGAACCAGCCAAGUCGCGUGAGGGAAGACGGUCCUAUGGAUUGUAAACCUCUUUUGUCGGGGAGCAAAAGACGCCACGCGUGGCGUUCCGAGAGUACCCGAAGAACAAGCAUCGGCUAACUCCGUGCCAGCAGCCGCGGUAAUACGGAGGAUGCGAGCGUUCUCCGGAUUUAUUGGGUUGAAGGGGUGCGCAGGCGGAAGAUCAAGUCAGCGGUAAAAUUGAGAGGCUCAACCUCUUCGAGCCGUUGAAACUGGUGUUCUUGAGUGAGUGAGAAGUAUGCGGAAUGCGUGGUGUAGCGGUGAAAUGCAUAGAUAUCACGCAGAACUCCGAUUGCGAAGGCAGCAUACCGGCGCUCAACUGACGCUCAUGCACGAAAGUGUGGGUAUCGAACAGGAUUAGAUACCCUUGUAGUC
rnacentral:rRNA from 1 species